rnacentral:rRNA from 1 species
CAGCCGCCGCGGGAAUACGGGGGGGGCAAGCGUUGUUCGGAAUUAUUGGGCGUAAAGGGUGCGUAGGCGGUUUGGCAAGUCUUAUGUGAAAUCUUCGGGCUCAACCCGAAGUCUGCAUGAGAAACUGCCGGGCUUGAGUAUGGGAGAGGUGAGUGGAAUUUCCGGUGUAGCGGUGAAAUGCGUAGAUAUCGGAAGGAACACCUGUGGCGAAAGCGGCUCACUGGACCAUAACUGACGCUGAUGCACGAAAGCUAGGGGAGCAAACAGGAUUAGAUACCCCGGUAGUCCCUGUCUCUUAUAC